UGCCUUCACAUAUUGCCUUUGUCCC
rnacentral:piRNA from 1 species